CAUCUCUUGCCGGCCACUUCUUCUUAGUUAGUAUUUUGUCAAAAACUCCUUUUUCUAUUUUUUUGUUCCUUUUUUAAUUGUGAAACCCAUUUAUUUAGGGUUGCAAAAGGCAUGAAUACAUAAAUUGCACAACCUCCAGCUUCCACCCUACCAGAGCAGCAGCCACUCCUCCACCUUCGGCGAACCGACCAGAGCAGCCGCCACUCCACCUUCGGCCGCGUGCGCUCCACCUUCGACCGUCCACCCUCCUCCGACCUUUCUAGCAGCCGAAUCCAGGACAAUCAGUUGUUGAUGCUAGAAUAGGAACGCCUGAAGCUGAUAAGUGAUCUGGAACAAAAGAUGGAAAGCCUAGAAAGGAAUUUAGAGAAGAAGCAUGCCGAGUUGGCUGCAUAUGAAGCUGCUUCAACAGCAGAAAUCAAAAACCAGUUUGGCAGGGAAAUUUAUGAGCUUAAAGGCCGAAUGAACUCCUCGGAUGCUAAGUGGACUGCCUAACUGGAAGAAGUGAUGGCAAAAGUGGAAGCCGCAAAGUAUGAGGUCUGAGAACCGCAAAUCCCGCCAACACGUUUCCUGCUGAAUUCAGUGAAACCGGAAUUAGCGAAAUCUCGAAACGGACGGUUAAGAAGUUGCUACAAUUUAACAUGGGUUUUUUUACCACGAAGUGCUUGGUUUUAGUUUAUUAUUUUAUUUAACUGGGUUUUUGUAUAGAACAUAUGUUACCAAACUUAAUUCACCGGACAUCCCGGAAGGGAUUAAGGGCAUAUCAUCCACUUGUUUUGUGACUCAAAAUUUCAAUUGUAAGACCUCCCAAAAAAAAAAAACAGCGGGUUGAAUCACAACAACAACAAAAGAUUUAGGCGUGUAGUUGGAGCCCAAAGUAGAAAUCCAUUAAUAAUCCAAUGGGCCCACAGACUUUGUAAAAACGAUUAUGACCUAGCCACCCACCCAACACACACACGUAUUCCACCCAAAUCAGAACCCUAGACCCGGCUUACUCUCUCUCACCCAAGACGACGACGAUGAGGAAUUCAAAUCGUGCAAUCCAAAAGAUCUCUUCAAGCUGCCGACGUAUGUUGCAUUGCAAACAAGAGAACCUGGUGCUAUCAAAUCAGAGGUUUUACAGCAUGGAUGAGCAAGUCGACUACAUCGACACUUUAAGUGUGGUAUAUUAGAAUUUUUGUCAACUUUUAUAAAGCUUUUCCGGUUGUCCCUGUUGAUGCCAUAACAACAUUUGUCUCCAAGACUGAUAUGCAGGAAAGAUCACGACUUCAAGAAAAGCAUUAUUCAGUAUUUAAAGGUGAAAUCCAAAAGUUACAGGAAAUUCGGUUCUCAGACCUGAAAAGGGAAAACCAAAAACUUACUUGUGAAGCUGAGCUUCGGAUUACAAACUGUGAAGAAAAUGACAAAGUGUUGUCAAGGGAACUCAGUGAAGUUUUAAGAACCGAAAGAUCUCACAUUGUGACAGAGAUUCACAAGCUAAUCUAUUUUAUUAAAUUAUAAAAACAUAUUUUAAUACUCAACUUUUAUUUUUGCAAUAGAAAAUUCAACUGUUAAGUACCCAAUUUGAGGCAUUGGAGGCCAAUCUACAACCGAAGAUCAAGGCAUAUAGCUGUCUAGUUGAAGAAAACAGAGGUAGAACAAUCAAGGCCUGCAAGUUCGCCGUAUGUUUAGCAAUUGUAGGGUUUAUUCCUUUUAUGAUCGUCCCUAAGCUAUUGCCCAUAGUUUAGUCAUAUAUAUGGGGUUGUAUUAAUCGGGGUUUUACUUCAUAACAAACUGUGUUUGGACGUGUGUUUGAUAACAUGUUACAUAUUAUACAAGUGAUUAUAAUAUAACUGGUUAUGGUUAUUGAAAAUAG